UAGCAGCACAGAAAUAUUGGCCCUCGUGGGGUUUGGACCCUGGCCAGUAUUCGUUGUGCUGCCCCA
rnacentral:pre_miRNA from 1 species